rnacentral:tRNA from 5 species
GGAGAGGUGCCCGGAGCGGCUUAUCGGGGACCACCGAAUGGUCGGGCCCUACGGGGCCCACGCAGGUUCAAAUCCUGCCCUCUCCG